ACUAAUAAUGUGUGAUCGGUAGAAAAUCCAUGGGAAUGACCGAAGUAAUAUCAUUUCAUUUUCAAGGAGAUAUGUAAAUUCAUGAGCAUUAAAGGAUGAUAAUUAUGCUUUAAAAUCAUUGUGUGUGUGGAGAUGGGAUAGACGGAGGCGACCCGUGACUGAAAUCUGGAGUUGCCGGCGGCUGAGGAAAUGGGAGAGGAAGGGGAAGUAGCCCGUUACGGUUGGCGGCGGCCUACUUCUCCCGCCAGCAAGUCUCCCAACUUCUACAGAGCACAAUGAUCGCGUCUUCCAUCAUUCAAGACAAGGAACUGAUUCUAUCUCAACUGCUAUGGGUGAGAUAUUGGUUGCACCUACGACUAUCACUGCAGUAGGAACUGGAAGUGAUUUCCAGAACAUAAAUCCUCUAUACUGGCUUGAUGGAACUAACUACCUACAGUGGAGUCAAGUAGUUCGGACUUUUCUCAAAGGAAGAGGAAAGAGAGGCCAUCUUACCAACCCCAGUCCAAAAGAAACAGAUCAAGGAUUCAAGGCAUGGGAUGAAGAAGAUUCAAUGAUUAUGUCCUGGUUAUGGAAUUCCAUGAAACCAGAGAUUAGUAAAAAUUUGAUGUUCCUUACCACUACAAAGGAAAUAUGAGUGAAUCUGCAGCAGACUUACUCCAAGAAGAAAGAUGCAACAUUGAUCUACGAGCUAAAAAAUCAAGAUUGAAUUCUGUGUAUGAUCAGAUCAGAGUUCAAAUUCUUGGUAAGGUUCCUAUACCAACUCUUCAUGAAUAUUUCUCAAUUGUUCAUGUUGAAGAGAGUUGACGAGGUGUUAUGCUGGAACCUCGUAUACAAGAAGAGGCUGCACCAAUGGUCAAUUGUCGACCAGGUGAAGGAGUGAAUAAAGGAAACACUAAUUGGAGGCCAGCAGAAUCAAGAAAACAAUCCAGCAAAGAUGGACUAUGGUACACCUACUACAACAAACCUCGCCACACUCAUGAAAACUGCUUUAAACUACAUGGAAAGGCCUAAGUUUUGGCACAAACAGGAGGAUUCAAGGGCCAAGGAAGCAGCCAAGCUAAUGUGGCCAGCAAAGAGCAGUCACUAAUUGACACUGCACAGCCAAACAAGGAGUCGUCUACAGAAUUCAACAAAGAAGAUAUAGAAAGAUUGAGACGCCUCCUUGAAUCUCUUGAUAAAUCUAUAGGUUCUUGUUCUCUUGCCAAAAGUUGUAUGUGUCUUAUGACUGAUUCUUUUAAAGCAUCACAUACUAAAAUGGGUAGAUGAGUUGUGGAUUCCAGAGCUAUUGAUCAUAUGACUUAUAAUAUCUCUCUUUGAUUCAUAUAAACCAACCCAAGGAAACCAAAAAAUUACUAUAGUUGAUGGCUCUUCCACUGACAUUGCUGGACAAGGAAGUUUACAUCUUACCCCUUCCAUAUCUCUUACAAAUGUCCUUUAUAUCCCUCACCUUUCAACUAAUCUUAUCUCUGUCCAAAAAAUUACUAAAGAACUUCAUUGCAAACUAACAUUCUUUGACUCUCAUUGUGUGCUUUAAGAUCAAGUCUCAAGAAAGAUGAUUGGAUUUGCUAGAAAGCGUAAUGGGUUGUACUACCCUGAGGAUCUUGACAAUGGUCAAAUAAAGGGAAACCAGUCUCCUUUCUCCCAAGCCCUUCUAGCCACAUCUAAUAAACAAAUGAUCUAGGCACAUCAUCUUCGUCUUGGUCAUCCACCUUUCCUUCCCUUAAAACAUAUGUUUCCAUUAUUGUUUAAAGGUCUAGUUAUGUCAGAUUUUUAAUGUGAAGUGUGUCAAUUUGCUAAAUACUGUCAUACUUCCUUCCCUAUCAAUUCAAUGAAAUGCAGUCAGCCUUUUACUUUGAUACAUUCUAAUAUUUGGGGGCCUGCAAAGAUCUAUGAUAUUCAUGGAGUUAGGUGGUUUGUUACUUAUCUCAUAAAUCGUCUUCUUUCUAAAGUCCUAGCCAAUCAUAGUCCUAUACAUACUCUGUCCAACCAUUUUCCAAACAUUGUGUCUACCAAAGAUAUGUCCCCAAAAGCGUUUGGUUGUGUUGCUUUCUUGCAUAUUCACAAAACUCACAAAUCUAAAUUGGAUCCUCGAGCAAAGAAGUGCGUCUUUGUUGGUAUUCUUCUACCAAAAAGGGUUACAAAUGUUAUGAUCCUUCUAGUGGACGCACUUAUCUCUCUCUUGAUGUCACAUUUCAUGAAUCCCAACCUUUUUAUAAAACUCCUCAUGCCCAUCUUCAAGGGGAACGGUCCAGAAACGAAGAUGUGUACUCAGGUUCCAUCCCUUUCCUUGAACUAAAUGCAAACCUUCCUGAUAAACCAUGAUCAUCUCAACCCUUUCUUGGUGUGAUCAUUCCAGAAACAAUUAACCAAGUUACAGAAAUGGCAGAUAUCACUACCCCAAAGGAUAUUGCAGCAGCUGACACUGACAACAUUAAAGCUGCCAAUGACACUGCGAAUGUCUUUGAACCUGCCAAUAACAUUGAACCACAUGCCAAUGACACUGCAAAUGUUCCCGUUCCUGCCAAUGACACUACCAAUGUUCCUGAACUUGCUAUGACACUACCAAUGUACAU